GGUCAUGUAGCUCAGCCUGGUCAGAGCGAAGGUUUUGUAAACCUUAGGUCGUGGGUCCAAAUCCCACCAUGACCUCCA
rnacentral:tRNA from 1 species